rnacentral:lncRNA from 1 species
UUUCGGUCAAUUGUUUGUAUUUUUCUGCCUUCUCUAUGACGACAAUUUUCAGAAAAUUUCUCAGUUUCUAUGUUAAUGACAUGAUUGAAUUUGAUUUUUCUUUUAUGUGGUGGUAUCAGUUAGAUGUUAUGACUAAUUUCUCAUAGAUUUUGUAGUAGUAGGAUAUCUGAAUUGUUGUUAGUGACAGUUGUGAGUAGCAAAAUUUUACUAUGGAGUUGGAGUUAAAUAUAGUUGUAAAGUAAAAAUGAAUUAUAGUGGAAGUACAACUUUUAGGAGUACAAUUUAGAACAAAUGAUUCAUCAAAACACUCAGAUUGCUAAUAUUGUUACUUGCUUAAGAUUGAAAUUUCUGAAAUAUUUCUCUAGUAUGAAUGUGAUUCUCUUAAUAAUGUCUUGCAUAUAUGCUUAUGAUCUUUACUCUGUUAUUGGUUUAUUGUACAUGAUCCUAAGGGCUGCAGUGUUAAGUACCUGUGUUGACCAUUUAGCAACAACCCAUUGAAAAGAAUCAAUUUCCUUUUUAAAUAAAUUUCAUUAAAUGUUAGGGCGAAAAGAAAUACAAGUAGUAUACCAAAAAAGUAAGGAUUUCCUUAUAAGGAUGCACCUUGAUAGAAGCACUGUAGAAUAAUUUAGCUGGUCUUUAAGCACUGGGUGGGUUCUAUGGUCUGAUAGGGCAUCGUUUUUAUAUUGUAACUUAACUAGACAAUUGUACUUUUAUAUGUAUGCUUAGUUGGCCGAUGAAGAUAACUGACUUUAGGAAUGUGGUUCAGGUGUUCAAUGGCUAAAGCGAAGGACCUGCACCUGAAGACCAGCAGCUUUGAGAGUUUACAUUUGUCUGGUAACUAUGUAGUCCUUUUGAUAACUUUUAUGAUUGAAUUUAAGCUUCAGUUUUGGUACAAAGAAUGACCAGGAAAUGGCAAGAUACUACUUCCAACCACAUUAUGGAAUGCUCCCUUUUUAGUUAUUAUACUAGUAUAUGUACCCGCGCGAUGCGCGGAUCAUUUAAAAGAAAAAAAAAUGAUAUAGUAGGUCUAUAUUGCAGACUAAAUUUAGUGAUCACAUUGAAAAGAAUUAAACCAAAAAAAUAAAUAUUUGAAUUUCAUCGGAUUGUAUCUAUGCCAGGGACCACCAAUUUUAUGCGCUCAUGCAAAGGUGAAGGAAAAAACUUGUCUCAAAUUCAAAAUAAAAUCAAUAUAGAUAAUCAAGAAAAGAGCAGUCAUAUAUUUCCCUUUGGAGUGAUUGAAGUUUCUUUCCUUCACAAAAUAAGGACAGUAAAAGCUUCUGCAUCAACUUAUUCAAUAUCAUUCCCAUUGUUCGAAGCAUAAUUAAUCAUCGCUUCUGCUUCUGCUGGAAAGACCAAUAUUCUCAUUGAAUUGUGCAUAAAAUGAUACGUUUUGCACAAGGUGUCAUACUUGUGCAGCUCCCAGCCGGCAACUGCUGCUUUUUUGUUCAAUGUUUCAGUUACUUUCCCUGCAUAUCCCAUUCCAUCUUUUCCUAAUUCCAUUGUAACAUCUUUAACUUUAGCAGUUUUUUCCCCAACAUAGCUUGUUGCACUCUUGCUCUGUUCUGGAACGCUCUGUUUUGCAAUUCACGUCAGGGAAAGAAGUUUUUGUUUCACCAGUUGUACUGAUAUUCUCC